rnacentral:rRNA from 1 species
AUUGAACGCUGGCGGCAGGCCUAACACAUGCAAGUCGAGCGGAUGAAGGGAGCUUGCUCCUGGAUUCAGCGGCGGACGGGUGAGUAAUGCCUAGGAAUCUGCCUGGUAGUGGGGGAUAACGUCCGGAAACGGGCGCUAAUACCGCAUACGUUCUGAGGGAGAAAGUGGGGGAUCUUCGGACCUCACGCUAUCAGAUGAGCCGAGGUCGGAUUAGCUAGUUGGUGGGGUAAAGGCCUACCAAGGCGACGAUCCGUAACUGGUCUGAGAGGAUGAUCAGUCACACUGGAACUGAGACACGGUCCAGACUCCUACGGGAGGCAGCAGUGGGGAAUAUUGGACAAGGGGCGAAAGCCUGAUCCAGCCAUGCCGCGUGUGUGAAGAAGGUCUUCGGAUUGUAAAGCACUUUAAGUUGGGAGGAAGGGCAGUAAGUUAAUACCUUGCUGUUUUGACGUUACCAACAGAAUAAGCACCGGCUAACUUCGUG